rnacentral:rRNA from 1 species
GACGAACGCUGGCGGCGUGCUUAACACAUGCAAGCCGAACGGAAAGGCCCUGCUUUCGUGGGGUGCUCGAGUGGCGAACGGGUGAGUAACACGUGAGUAACCUGCCCUUGACUUUGGGAUAACUUCAGGAAACUGGGGCUAAUACCGGAUAGGAGCUCCUGCUGCAUGGUGGGGGUCGGACAGUUUCGGCGGUUGGGGAUGGACUGGCGGCUUAUCAGCUUGUUGGUGGGGUAGUGGCUUACCCAGGCUUUGACGGGUAGCCGGCCUGAGAGGGUGACCGGCCACAUUGGGACUGAGAUACGGACCAGACUCCUACGGGAGGCAGCAGUGGGGAAUAUUGCACAAUGGGCGGAAGCCUGAUGCAGCAACGCCGCGUGCGGGAUGAUGGCCUUCGGGUUGUAAACCGCUUUCGCCUGUGACGAAGCGUGAGUGACGGUAAUGGGUAAAGAAGCACCGGCUAACUACGUG